rnacentral:tRNA from 1 species
GUUAAUGUAGCUUAAACCACUAAAGCAAGGCACUGAAAAUGCCUAGACGGGUAUUUCACCCCAUGAACA